UACGUAGGGUGCAAGCGUUAAUCGGAAUUACUGGGCGUAAAGCGUGCGCAGGCGGUUUUGUAAGUCAGAUGUGAAAUCCCCGGGCUUAACCUGGGAACUGCAUUGGUGACUGGCGGGCUAGAGUAUGGCAGAGGGGGGUAGAAUUCCACGUGUAGCAGUGAAAUGCGUAGAGAUGUGGAGGAAUACCGAUGGCGAAGGCAGCCCCCUGGGCCAAUACUGACGCUCAUGCACGAAAGCGUGGGGAGCAAACAGG
rnacentral:rRNA from 1 species